rnacentral:rRNA from 1 species
GACGAACGCUGGCGGCGUGCUUAACGCAUGCAAGUCGAACGGAAAAGCCCUGCGUUUGUGGUGUGCUCGAGUGGCGAACGGGUGAGUAACACGUGAGUAACCUACCCUUGACUUUGGGAUAACUUCACGAAACUGGGGCUAAUACCAUAUCGGAGCCGCCGCUGGAUUGAAGGGGGUGGAAAGUUUCGGCUGGUGUGGCUGGACGCGCGGCUUACCGGCUUGUUAGUGGGGUAGGUGCAUACCAAGGAUUUGACGGGUAGGCGGCCUGAGAGCGUGACCGGCCACAUUGGUCCUGAGAUACGGACCAGAGGCCUACGGUAGGCAGUAGGGGGGAAUAUUGCACAAUGGGACCAAGCCUGAUGCAGCAACGUCGGGUUCGGGAUGACGGUCUUUGGGUUGUAAAACGCUUUAGCUUGUUACGAAGCGUGAGUGACGGUAACGGAUAAAGAAGCACCGGCUAACUACGUG